UAAACAGUCAACAAAAUAACAAGACAAUACCUAAAAACACCCCUUUUCACACCACUAACAAUAAACAGAUAACAAUCUGUCAGGCAUUCAGAGUUAAACAGGGUACUGAUUAUCUAGGGGCAGAUAAGGCUACUGAUAGGGGUUGCCCAGACAUAAGGCUAGAAUGAGGUAUAAGACUUUUGAUUGGUUCAAAUUUUUGCACAGGAAAUUAUUUGAAAACAACAACUUUUGAAAAACAAGCUGGUUUCAGCAAUUGACCAGUCGCCAACUCCGCCCACAUUUUGUCGAUCAGCCAAUCAGAUAUCAGCGAUUUUCCUCCUUCUUUAUAAAGUACAGGUAAACGGCACUUUCCCAAUUACGAAAAAAAUACAAAUUUCCCAAUUGCUGUCCUUAAAUUCCCAAUUAAAGGUAAAAAAAAAAAAAAAUUUUUUUUUUUCUUUUUUAGCAACAUUUAGUUAGUUUCCCUUUGCAGCUCUAUAGCUUAAACCUAGGUUUAUAUAAUAUUGACAGCUUGAAAACACUUGGUUAUCAAUUUUAAAGUAUUUGGGAGCAAAAAAUCAAAUACACCAAUUUCCCAAUUUGAGGUUUUCACGACUCGAUUUUUCCCAAUUUUGAGGUUUUCACGACUCGAUUUUUCCCAAUUGGACCGGUACGGGUACUUUUCCCAAUUGGACAAGGAAAAUCGCUGGAUAUCGAUUUUUUCACACACCCCUCAGCAACGCUUAUCUGGCCGCCACUUUGUCCGACAAACAAAGCGUGUUGUACAUAUGGAAUGGACGUAAUUUUUAAGAGUUUACACAGAUUUUAUAUCAAAUGCAUGAUCAUUACUGUUCAAUCAUUAUUCAAAAUUGUAGGUGCUAUACAUUCUUUAUAAAAAGUUAUUAUUUUAUCUUCAUUUCUUGAACAUAUUAACGAGUAAUGAGAAAACAAACACAAUCAAUAGUUUAACCACACCAGGUGUGUGUUCUAUAAAAUGUGUUAUACCGUUUGAUGCACAAUAUUAUUAAGCAGUUUGGGCAACAUAAUAAUUGCCACACGUGCUUAUUAAUCUCAGCGUAAUUGUCGAUGAUUAAUAAAUAACAGUAUGUUGCGUGGAUCUCAGAAUGAAGGAACAUUAAGGCAUUGUUAGGUACUGUACACAAGAAAAGAAAACUAUUUAAUUACUUAAAUGAUUUCCAAUUAUAUAUUUAUUUUCUGUGGAUCAUAAACAAGGGAAAUCAUUAUAAAUUGUUAACUUUAAUAUUGUUUUAACUGAAGUAAAAACAACACAAAGGUGAUUUCAACGCGGCUUAGCCAGCUUAAAGCGACUUCAAGUGCAAAAUGUACGGCUUAUAAUACAACAACAACAUUUCUAAUACAACAUAUAUUGAUACGGGGAGAAAUGUGAAAAUUGCAAUUAACAUGUAAGAGCCAUCUUCUUAUAAAUAAGCAAAUGCAUAAUAUGCUAAAUGUAUUCAAUUCGAAUGUUCGUGAACAGCACCGUAAUACCAACAUUUCAUUUUUUGAUAGUGAAAUGUAACAGGUUCGCAUUAAACAUAAAUGAAAUAAAAUGCAUAUUAGACUAUCUGUUAAUGAAACCACGAAAUUAGGCCUGUAUUAAAUUAUGGUUACAAUCAAAAUUUAAUUUAUAUCCUAAUAAAACAAUUCGGUGUCUUUUUAAAAAUAACACAAUAAAACAAAAAUCUUAACAUUUUUAAUAAACAAAAAACCCAUCAUGAUAUGGAUAUGUCAUUUGCAUUUAAUAAAAAUAUUUUCAAUAUUAUAUAUGAAUAGCCACCGGGUUCACUGUCAGACGGUUGAAAAUCAAUAUGAAAUAAAUGCUCAUUUUUACAACGGAUUUUUCAUCCCCUCCCUAUAUAAUAUGUAUAAGAAACGUUUCUGAUAGUCAGUCUGCCGUUAACUCAUUUAUUUUGAUUACGCCAUUUCUCUCUAAAGUUUUUAUGAUUGUAUUAACGUUUUACAAAGCAGUUUAGGUUAGUGUGCGGCUUUAAUAAUUUAUUUUAUAGAAAAGAGCAUAAUACAUCAUUACAUAUAUAGAAUUUCCCUCACGUAAUCCGCUAUAAUUGCGAUCUGCUUGUCAGAGUUUUCUAAUCACUAGACCACGUGACUAUGUGGGCGGAGCGAUCGAUAAUUUGGCGACUGGUCAAUUGAAUAUUGAGCUAAAUUAAAUUAACAUUGAGACUUAUAAUUGUUCUGUAAAAUGUAUUGAAAUACUGUCAGCAUGAAGUUUUGUGUGAUGAAAACAAUGUGUUUUUUACUACAAUUUGGAAAUCAUCAGUUUGUUGGAAAAGAGGUUCAACUGUUGUUGUUUUUUUGGAAUACUGUAGAACAGUUUUAACAGGUUUGUAUUGUCAUUUCUUCAUCCUUUUUUUUAUUUAGUUUAUUGAAUUAAUUAUGAUCACUAGUAUAUUUAUGUAUUGUCACUGGGAAAUGUAAAUUGAUAAGUUAAUGUAUCGCAAUUUAAAGGAAAAACAACACAAUUUGAAGCAAAUAUAGAUAAACAUACACAUGACAAAGUGUAAAUGUUGUGUACAGUGAAUUGUUGGGGUUGUGUUUUAUGAUUAUUGUCAUCUUUAUUGUUAUUUAUUGAUAUUUCUGGUUAUUACUGAACAGAUUUCUUUCCCUCAUAUUUUAAUGUUGAAGGUUAAACUCUUGCCCCAAGAGCAAAAGGGGUUAUCAUACUACCUGAUGUAUGGACUUUUAAACCAGGCUUUUACCCUGCAGAGCUGGCCAACUUGAGGGGAACUGAAGUGGGCAAACCUCGCCCUGUCCUUGAACAAGAAAGCUGGAUUUGUUGAGAGAGUAUCAUUAAAGCUGAAAUCCAGCAUGAAACCAGGGAGGUGAAGGCCAUCGCACAGGCCAUGUGCCAACUAUUCACUCCCCACCAGCUUGUGACUUGCUCCAUGAAGGGAGCAACAACUACAACGGGGUCACCAAGACCAAGCCUCCCUGCUGCUGAGAGAAAUGCAAUCAUUGAUGUCAUAGCCAAAACCUUUGACAAGCCUCUGGUGGAUGUUAAAGAAAAGAUGAGAGGUUGUUUAAGGCGUCUGCGGCUGAUGCACAAGUAGACUGAAGUCUUUGUAAAUAAAAUGUGCUGUUAAAAUGAUUAUUUAACCAUUGUUUUCACUUUGUUAUAUAGAUUUGCACCUGUUGCAACAUCAUUAACUUAUUUUUGUGCUCCCGAUAGGGUCUCAUAUAGCAGUUGAACUGUCCGUCUGUCUGUCUAUCCGUCCGAAAACUUUAGCAUUGGUCAUAACUUUUGCAAUAUUGAAGAAAGCAACUUGAUAUUUAGCAUGCAUGUGUAUCUCAUUGAGCUGCACAUUUUGAGUGGUGCAAGGUCAAGGUCAUCCUUCAAGGUCAGAGGUCAAUAUCCAAUGGAAGUAAU